UCAUGACCCAAAAACCUAACCUUAAUUAUCAAUCCUAAAUAUCCCUAUAUCCUGGUGAAAGGUGUAACAUACUUACCGCUUAUACAGCCUUGCAAACAAGUCUCUGAGGAAAAUUAUCUCUGCACACAAGAAAACAGGGGCACCGUUUUCUGAAACGACAUGCAUUGAGGAGCUGAUGACCUUCAAGGAAAACCCAUCCAACUGUGACCAGAAUACAGUAAUUAUAGAAGAGAUUAACCCUGCGAUCUCAACAUCAAUAACAUCCAAUUACAUCAUCAGCGUUCAUAAACAGAAAAUAUGUCAUCAGAACGUAUCCCAUCCAUUAAGCUGCUGGAGUUACAGUCAACAGUGAACUCUAAGGAAAAUCAGAAUCCAGAAUAAACUUACAAGGAAUGGAGCUCAGUGACUUGCAACACAUGUCUUACAUGCUGUAACAACUUAACAGAGAUAGUGAUAGUGAAAUGGGCAAUUCAGUGAAAGUGAAAAGCAUUAGUUUAGGCACUCUUUUAUUGUAUUUUGCUAAUUGUUGUGUUUUUUAUAAAAAUAAGAUUAUUAAUAUGUUGCAGUGGCGAAAUAAUCAGAAUUUGCAUGUGCAAUCCCCUGAUAAUUUCGCUCUUAAGGAGGGAGGAGUUAUAUAAUCCCGUGUGUCACCACCAUAGGAUAAUUAUAUUUUAUAUAAACAAAAACCAUUGCAACAUAGUAGUACAAAGAUCCUUUAUAUUUCAAUAGCCGAAGUGCUGUUACAUGAUUUACGAACCACUCUUAGUUCUUACUAAGUAACGUUUCCUUGUAGAGCGUGAGAACAAUGUGUCAGCACAACGGUCACGUAGGCCUUUAAGAAUAGGAUAUAAAUAUAAUAGAAUACUUGUAAUAUUUAGUAUUAAACGGACCUCAAAUCGGA